UGGGGAAUAUUGGACAAUGGGCGCAAGCCUGAUCCAGCAAUGCCGCGUGUGUGAAGAAGGCCUUCGGGUUGUAAAGCACUUUUAUCAGGAGCGAAACGCUGUCGGCUAAUACCCGGCGGAACUGACGGUACCUGAGGAAUAAGCACCGGCUAACUUCGUGCCAGCAGCCGCGGUAAUACGAAGGGUGCAAGCGUUAAUCGGAAUUACUGGGCGUAAAGCGUGCGUAGGCGGUUUCUUAAGUCUGCUGUGAAAUCCCCGGGCUCAACCUGGGAAUGGCAGUGGAUACUGGGAGGCUAGAGUGUGUCAGAGGGUGGUGGAAUUCCCGGUGUAGCGGUGAAAUGCGUAGAGAUCGGGAGGAACAUCAGUGGCGAAGGCGGCCACCUGGGACAACACUGACGCUGAGGCACGAAAGCGUGGGGAGCAAACAGGAUUAGAUACCCUGGUAGUCCACGCCCUAAAGCGAUGCGAACUGGAUGUUGGUCUCAACUCGGAGACCAGUGUCGAAGCUAACGCGUUAAGUUCGCCGCCUGGGGAGUACGGUCGCAAGACUGAAACUCAAAUGAAUUGAC
rnacentral:rRNA from 1 species